AUUGAACGCUGGCGGCAGGCCUAACACAUGCAAGUCGAACGAGUGGCGGACGGGUUAGUACUGUCUGGGAAACUGCCCGAUGGAGGGGGAUAACUACUGGAAACGGUAGCUAAUACCGCAUACCAUCGGAUGUGCCCAUAUGGGAUUAGCUAGUAGGGGGGGAAACGGCUCACCUAGGCGACGAUCCCUAGCUGGUCUGAGAGGAUGCCCAGCCACACUGGAACUGAGACACGGUCCAGACUCCUACGGGAGGCAGCAGUGGGGAAUUUUGCACAAUGGGCGCAAGCCUGAUGCAGCCAUGCCGCGUGUGUGAAGAAGGCCUUCGGGUUGUAAAGUACUUUCGGCGGGGAGGCGUUACUCGCAGAAUAAGCACCGGCUAACUCCGUGCCAGCAGCCGCGGUAAUUC
rnacentral:rRNA from 1 species